CCUAACACAUGCAAGUCGAACGGUAACAGGAAGCAGCUUGCUGCUUCGCUGACGAGUGGCGGACGGGUGAGUAAUGUCUGGGAAACUGCCUGAUGGAGGGGGAUAACUACUGGAAACGGUAGCUAAUACCGCAUAACGUCGCAAGACCAAAGAGGGGGACCUUCGGGCCUCUUGCCAUCAGAUGUGCCCAGAUGGGAUUAGCUAGUAGGUGGGGUAACGGCUCACCUAGGCGACGAUCCCUAGCUGGUCUGAGAGGAUGACCAGCCACACUGGAACUGAGACACGGUCCAGACUCCUACGGGAGGCAGCAGUGGGGAAUAUUGCACAAUGGGCGCAAGCCUGAUGCAGCCAUGCCGCGUGUAUGAAGAAGGCCUUCGGGUUGUAAAGUACUUUCAGCGGGGAGGAAGGCGAUGCGGUUAAUAACCGCGUCGAUUGACGUUACCCGCAGAAGAAGCACCGGCUAACUCCGUGCCAGCAGCCGCGGUAAUACGGAGGGUGCAAGCGUUAAUCGGAAUUACUGGGCGUAAAGCGCACGCAGGCGGUCUGUCAAGUCGGAUGUGAAAUCCCCGGGCUCAACCUGGGAACUGCAUCCGAAACUGGCAGGCUUGAGUCUCGUAGAGGGGGGUAGAAUUCCAGGUGUAGCGGUGAAAUGCGUAGAGAUCUGGAGGAAUACCGGUGGCGAAGGCGGCCCCCUGGACGAAGACUGACGCUCAGGUGCGAAAGCGUGGGG
rnacentral:rRNA from 1 species